rnacentral:rRNA from 1 species
GGGCCCGCACAAGCGGUGGAGCAUGUGGUUUAAUUCGAUGAUACGCGAGGAACCUUACCAGGACUUAAAUGUAAGUUGCAUGAUUCAGAAAUGAAUCUUUCUUCGGACUACUUACAAGGUGCUGCAUGGUUGUCGUCAGCUCGUGCCGUGAGGUGUCAGGUUAAGUCCUAUAACGAGCGCAACCCCUAUCGUUAGUUGCCAUCAAGUAAAGUUGGGAACUCUAGCGAAACUGCCGGUGUAAACCGAGAGGAAGGUGGGGAUGACGUCAAAUCAUCACGGCCCUUACGUUCUGGGCUACACACGUGCUACAAUGGUCGGUACAGAAAGCAGCCACUAUGCGAAUAGGAGCUAAUCUACAAAACCGGUCUCAGUUCGGAUCGCAGUCUGCAACUCGACUGCGUGAAGCUGGAAUCGCUAGUAACCGC